AGCGGCAGAUUUUCUGCUAAAGUAGCUGUGGAGGCGUGACGCGCCUGUGACGUGCGCCCGCGCGCUGGCGGGAGCGCUGACGACACGGGGCGGCCGCCGCAGGAGGGAGCUCGCGGGAGGACGCAGCUUUCCCGGGCCGGACAGCGGCGGGCGCGCCUGGAGGACUGAGCGCCGGCUUCCCAGCCCUGCGCUCGGCUCCAGUCUCUCGCCCGCAGCCGCGUCCCGGCCCGCCUGUGUGGGUGCAGAGACAGAUACCGUGGCAGCGGCAGGCAAAGACUGGGUCUCUCUUCUUCGUGAAGAGAAAUAAUGAGUUGUGGUGGCCGCCGCUUAGAUGUCCGGACUCCUCGGUCUCGCACCGUUUUUGGUAGUGAAGGAGCAAAUGGCUUUGCACUACGCGGCGUUCCUGUUCCGUUCCUGACCCACAUCGAAGGCCACGUGAGAAUCGUGGCUGCAGAGCCUUAGUCUUUAUAAACAAAAAUCGCUAUAAAAUGCAAAGCCGCUGUUGCGCGCAACCUUCUUGCCGCCAGCCUAGCAUUUCUGUGGCGUUUUCUCUCACACUAUAUUGUGAAUAAAAUUUUUCUAUACAAAUUAAAUAAUUUAAAAACUCACAUAUGAAACAUUUCAUGCUUUUCAGCCUUAAUGCUUCAUGGCUGAUUUUGUUACUUGAUGUACUGAUUUGGGCAACUUAAUUCACAUUUUAGCAAUCUGUGUAGAAAACUAGAAGCCCCGUUAAGUAUUUUAUAAUUUUAGGCUGUUUAUGCCAUGCUUGGGAUGUUGUUUGAAAGAAAGAAAAAUACACUUCACAUAUUUCUGCACCUUCAUCUUCUAAAUAAACCUGUGGAUGACUUAGUAAGAGGUAAGCGGACAUACGUCUUCUACACGCCUACUAAGGAUAUACUUGUGGCUAAAGUGAGUUGAUAAUGUUAUGCAAAGGAUAACUGUCACCAGCUCAUUUCCUUAUGGUCCAUAAUGAAAUAAACAUCUUGUAGACUGUUAAUUCAGUAAACAGAUGCAUGUUCAAAAGCUCUAUGAUAGUUUUGUAAUCUUACUCUAAUAUAUUUUAGCUAUUUUAUUUUUUUCCCUCUGGGGGAAUACAUUUAAUAUGGUGUAGAAAAUGCUUAAUGACAUUUUCAUAUAAGGUUAUAUAACUUUUCCUACAUAAACAUAAAAUUUGUUGUAGAAAAUUCUUUAAACCAAACAUUUUGAUCUAGGACUUCAGUUUAAUAUGUUCCUUGAAUCUAUUUUUAUGUAGCCCUUAAAAACAUCUGAAAAUCCAUUGCUAAUAUAGCAAUAAAAUACUUUGGGUACUGACAGCCUCUUUGGAGUGUGUAUAUAUAAAAUUACAAACUUGAAUUCAUAUUCUUUUCUGUGAUAUGUUGUACUUAAAAUGCUUUUGCACCUUUUUUUUAAACAAUUUUUUCUUUUGAUGUUGGUGCCAGAUUUACCAUACAUGACUGCUGCUUUUGGAGUUAAACAUUUUGUUAGUGAAGAUACAACCAGAACACUACGUUAUGGGAUAAAAUUUUCAUAAUAGGUGGCAUAGGUAAAUAUUUUUAGGCUUCAUUUAGAAUUUAUUAUCAAGCCAUGCCAUUUUUUUCUGGAAAGGAAAAAAAAAAAACGUGUUUUUCAUUGUUAGGUUAUAUUUUUCUGUAGGAAAGAGGAAAUUUUUUGGUCUAUGUUGUAAGCCUCAUUCAUACUUCAAUUUUAAGAUUGUCUUAUGUGUAUUCUAGUAAAUAGAUGACUUUCAGAAUCGAGCCUCCUACGAGUUUGAUUUGCUCAUUUUUCCUUAAAAUAAAUAUUGUCUUUCAAAAAAAAAAAAGAGAGAGAGAAAAUGGUAGUGAGGAAGACAGGAAACAAUGGUUUCCUAAUUUCCCUCCCUCAGAGAUGAGAGAUUUGCUGUACUCUCUUUCAUAAGUGAUAGUUCUAUGGGAAGGAAGUUACCCCAGAAGGGAUUCUAGAUGUGGCAAUUGUAACCUCUUAAAAAUGUGGAAUUGCUCCUGUUCUUCUGAUUGCAAGCUACUGCAGAUACCCCGUAUCAAACCGGCACGCUGGACACCGGAUUAUUUCUAAUUUCUCUCUUGUCAGCAACACUCAAAAGAACAUUAUUGUGUAGAUAAAUAUUUGCAAAUGUCUAGUUAUUUCCUUACAUUUCUAGAAGUAGACUCCCUAGAUUAAAGUUUAUCCAGUGU